GAUGGAAGGUUCAAAGUAUGCUGAGCGGCUGCCUAUUGGACUGGAAAGGGUGAUCCGAACAGUUUCUCCUCAGAUAGUAAAGCAAUUUUACAGGAAGUGGUACCAUCUGCAGAAUAUGGCCGUGAUUGCUGUUGGGGACUUUCCUGAUACGCAGAGUGUUGUUGAGUUGAUAAAAACUCACUUUGGACAGAAGAUUUCAGC
rnacentral:misc_RNA from 1 species